UCGGAUAUGGUGUAACGGCUAACAUUGCCGCCUCUCAAAUUUGAACGCGGCAGCUCGGGGUUCGAUUCCCCGUAUCCGAA